CAUCCUCAAAACCUUCUUGGUUUCUUGACCGGGAAGGCUUUGGACUUUGGAGGCUUUUGCUGGCAUUCCUUUAUUGGAGCCAGCUCCUCUGAAAUGAAUUAGUGGGGUCCGCUUUGCUGAUCCUUGACGUGAUAAUAUCUUUUCUACGUCUUGGGUUUCGCACUGUUCACUCUGGAUCCUGCUUCUAACCGUCUCACAGGAGACAAUGGUCAAGUGAUUGCCACUUUGACCCCAUGAA
rnacentral:misc_RNA from 1 species